AUUGAACGCUGGCGGCAUGCCUUACACAUGCAAGUCGAACGAUAACAGGUCUUCGGAUGCUGACGAGUGGCGAACGGGUGAGUAAUACAUCGGGACGUGCCUAGUAGUGGGGGAUAACUACUCGAAAGAGUGGCUAAUACCGCAUGAGAUCUACGGAUGAAAGCAGGGGAUCGCAAGACCUUGUGCUACUAGAGCGGCCGAUGGCAGAUUAGGGAGUUGGUGGGAUAAAAGCUUACCAAGCCGACGAUCUGUAGCUGGUCUGAGAGGACGAUCAGCCACACUGGGACUGAGACACGGCCCAGACGCCUACGGGAGGCAGCAGUGGGGAAAUUUGGACAAUGGGCGCAAGCCUGAUCCAGCAAUGCCGCGUGCAGGAUGAAGGCCUUCGGGUUGUAAACUGCUUUUGUACGGAACGAAAAGCCCUGGGUUAAUACCCUGGGGUCAUGACGGUACCGUAAGAAUAAGCACCGGCUAACUACGUGCCAGCCGCCGCCGUAACAC
rnacentral:rRNA from 1 species